CCGAUUGUAGAAGGCUCCUAUGAAGCAGCUCUCUAGGAUAUUGCUCCCUUGUUUCCACCAAAGUGACAUCUUCUCGUGCUUCGACAAACCACUCGGCUAUCCAUAAUCUGACGAUGUCCGACAUGUGGAACGCAUAGUUUUCGCGCAAUAAGGCACAGUAGAGAAAGCAUCGCUUGAGAUGGGCCGGAAGGUUGGUAGCUCAGAUACAGUGCUCCGUGCCCACCUUCGGGAAGCCCGGUCCGUGACCAUGCGGCGCUGCGGAGAACUUCCUCCCACGCAUUUCUGAGGGACCAGCCAUCCUCCGGAGGCAACAGCUUCAUCUCGUGGACGUGGGCCGUCGCGAUCCCUUCGUUUCUGGUGGUCACCAGCACCCUGCUCCUCGCAAAGGAUUGCGGUGCAAGUCGUCCCAGAUCUCAGCCCUCCACACCUCAUCCAACACCAGCAAGAACUUGUUCCCUUUCAGGAGACCCUCCACCAUGGGCUCGAGCAAAGUCCGGCUCUGUGCUCCACCGUGACUUCCCCCGGCGCUGGUGACGAUAUCCCUGAGAAGAUCCGUCUCCGUGAACUCUUGGGACACGAACACCAUAUGAAGGUGAAUGUGAAGGACACAAAUAUGUUAGAAAUUGUACCUUCAUGGAGGAUUCAUUAAGCAAUACUGUUUUGUGUUCUUACGACUUUAAGAUAAAAGAAAAGAAAAAGAAAAAAAAGACUGGAUCGGCUUUGUGUUCUGUUCUUGAGUGGAUGAUCAGAAUCUGAAUUGAUGGUACUAAAUAGCAAGUUCGUGAUUCUCAAUAAUGGACAGAAAGAAAAGAUGAGGCAGAUUAGGCUUCAAAUAAAUGCAAUUUUCUUCGAAUGGUUGUGCUGA